rnacentral:rRNA from 1 species
AACGAACGCUGGCGGCAGGCUUAACACAUGCAAGUCGAGCGCCCCGCAAGGGGAGCGGCAGAAGGGUGAGUAACGCGUGGGAAUCUACCCAUCUCUACGGAAUAACGCAUGGAAACGUGUGCUAAUACCGUAUACGUCCUUAGGGAGAAAGAUUUAUCGGAGAUGGAUGAGCCCGCGUUGGAUUAGCUAGUUGGUGGGGUAAAGGCCUACCAAGGCGACGAUCCAUAGCUGGUCUGAGAGGAUGAUCAGCCACACUGGGACUGAGACACGGCCCAGACUCCUACGGGAGGCAGCAGUGGGGAAUAUUGGACAAUGGGCGCAAGCCUGAUCCAGCCAUGCCGCGUGAGUGAUGAAGGCCCUAGGGUUGUAAAGCUCUUUCACCGGUGAAGAUAAUGACGGUAACCGGAGAAGAAGCCCCGGCUAACUUCGUGCCAGCCGCCGCGGUAACAC